rnacentral:rRNA from 1 species
GGAGUUAGCCGGUGCUUCUUCUGUGAGUGAUGUCCUUCCUGCCGGCUAUUAACCCGCAGGCCUUCUUCCUCACUGAAAGUUCUUUACAACCCGAAGGCCUUCUUCACACACGCGGCAUGGCUGGAUCAGGGUUGCCCCCAUUGUCCAAUAUUCCCCACUGCUGCCUCCCGUAGGAGUCUGGGCCGUGUCUCAGUCCCAGUGUGGCUGAUCAUCCUCUCAGACCAGCUACGGAUCGUCGCCUUGGUGAGCCGUUACCUCACCAACCAGCUAAUCCGACAUAGGCUCAUCCGAUAGCGCGAGGCCCGAAGGUCCCCCGCUUUCCCCCGUAGGGCGUAUGCGGUAUUAGCCUGGGUUUCCCCAGGUUAUCCCCCACUACCGGGCAGAUUCCUAUGCAUUACUCACCCGUCCGCCGCUCGCCACCAGGGAGCAAGCUCCCCGUGCUGCCGCUCGACUUGCAUGUGUUAGGCCUGCCGCCAGCGUUCAAUCUGAGCCAGAUCAAACUCUGA